UUUAAGCGAGAAUCAAAUAAACGUUUCCAUGAGUUUCCAUGGUCGAGGUAAUGAGGCAAAUCGUUAUGCCCUAAUUUUUUUUCAAAUUCAGCUCCAAGCAGUAAGAAGCAACCGCUUUCUCUAUUUCUUGUUCCAUCCGGUCGAACAAAGUUUGACAUUAUUUGUUCAAUUAUCAUAAUCCUAAGAAGAGAUCGUGGUCUGUGGGUUCUGUUAAACCUGGCUUCGGAUAUCUGGAAACGGUUAUUUCCGCCACGAAGCCGAAGGCCUGUUGGGGUUGCCCCUUACAUCAGGUUCAAUCGAGGAAGUAAUUCUGGAAUGGCUUUGAAUCCGUUCAAGUACUGCUCUGGCCUUAGAGUUCUCGGUUAUUUCAUGAUCCUCCUUGUCGCAGCGAUAAUCGCUGUGUCGUAUUAUGCAGUCGUUGUCCUCAUUUGGGGGCCUCAGUUGCUUCAUGGUGGCCUUCGAUCGGUUCUCUCUAUUUCCAUAGUCACCACAUUUCAUCUUCUGCUUAUACUGUUAACUUGGAGCUACCUUAUGGUAGUCUUUCAGGAUCCUGGUUCUGUUCCAGAAAAUUGGAGACCUGUGAUGCAGGAAGAGAACAUGGAAACUAGUUCUAUGGCAUUAUCAGGAUAUGUUGAUCCAGAAUCUAGAAACUCCACAGCAUCUCCAUCGGAGGGGGGAAGGCAAGCUGUUGGAUACUGUAGUCGCUGCCAGAAUAGCAAGCCUCCACGCUGCCAUCAUUGUUCUGUUUGCCAGAGAUGUGUCCUUAAGAUGGAUCACCAUUGCGUAUGGGUUGUCAAUUGCGUUGGGGCACAAAACUACAAAUUCUUUCUUCUGUUUCUACUGUAUACAUUUCUGGAGACCACUUUGGAUACUCUUGUAUUGCUGCCACAUUUCAUUAAAUUCUUCGGAGAUGCCAAGAGUCGUUCCACCUCGCCAGGCAAUCUUGCUCUUACCUUUUUAGCUUUUGUUAUUAACCUGGCUUUUGCACUAAGCCUUAUUUGUUUCUUGAUCAUGCAUGCAUCUCUCUUGUCAAGCAACACCACUACAAUAGAGGUUAAUGAGAAGAAGAAGGCAGUCAGGUGGAAGUAUGACUUGGGAUGGAAGAAGAAUUUUGAGCAGGUUUUUGGUACCAAAAAAGUAUUUUGGUUCUUCCCAUUGUUCUCGAAGGAGGAUUUAGAGAAGAUAACUGCACUUCAUGGUCUAGAUUUCCCUACACGUUCUGAUGUGGAGGCUUGAUGCAUGGUCAGGCCUGUCUGGACUUUGCUGGGACCACUGAAGGCAUGUUCCCAUUCUUGAACCUGGGCUAGGUGAUAGGUUAUGGCCGACAAAGAGGCUCAUCUGUGUUCCUAUGUUCCCAGACCUGAGGAAGUACUGAGAUCUUGCUUGAACAAGUUGAAACCUGACAAAUAGGGGUGACACCACAAAUCUUAAAUAUGUAGAGAUGUAAUCAGAUCUUAUGCACCAUCUUGUUUUGUUUUUGUCUUUCUUCCUUUCACCUUUACUGUAAGAGAAAGCGAAGAAAGUCAUUAAAGAAGCUUCUCCUUCCCCCUUGUCCGGUGCAACAUCGAUGUUUUUCUUUGUAAACCUCUUUGAAGGAGUUGUCCAGUUUAUUCUCUUGUUUGUUGUUAGCUUUUAUGUCUCUUUGUUCAUUUAUUUCUCUUUAGUAAAUUUGAAUACAUUCGUAAG